CAAUAGCGUAUAUUAAAGUUGUUGCAGUUAAAAAGCUCGUAGUUGGAUUUCCGGCGUGAGGGAUCAGUCUGACUUCUAGUCAGUACUUGGUCCUCUCAUGCCGUCCUUGAAUGGUGCAUCCUGGCAUUAAGUUGUCGGGCAGGGGAUAACCAUCGUUUACUGUGAAAAAAUUAGAGUGUUUAAAGCAGGCUUAUGCCGUUGAAUAUAUUAGCAUGGAAUAAUAAGAUAGGACUUUGAGUCUAUUUUGUUGGUUUGCGAGUCAAAGUAAUGAUUAAUAGGGACAGUUGGGGGUAUUCGUAUUUCAUUGUCAGAGGUGAAAUUCUUGGAUUUCUGAAAGACGAACUACUGCGAAAGCAUUUACCAAGGAUGUUUUCAUUAAUCAAGAACGAAAGUUAGGGGAUCGAAGACGAUCAGAUACCGU
rnacentral:rRNA from 1 species